rnacentral:tRNA from 1 species
CAGAGGGUAGUUUAAUU